UUUAUCCAAACUGUGGCACUGGGUGUAAUUUCUGGGAUCAGAUGUGGAAAAACAUCCUGGCCCUGUGUCAAGGGAUGACCAAGACAGAUCCAAAGUACCUCCCUCUACCCACUCCUGUUUGUUUUGGAGGAAACCCCCAGGGAGUCCUGACAUGUCCUCAAAUCCCUGCUUUGGACAGGUGGGCACCAGAGUCUGGUGGUCCUGAUGCAAAUUUUGCAUGUUGGGAAACAUUUUUCUGUGUUCCCUAAAGCAGGGAGUGAAUCCCACCAUCAGAUGGAGGUGUGAAUGUCUCCUGGGCUCAGUGACAUGUCCUUGGCUCCUCAAGGCAGCACAGCCCAUUGCUCAUCCAGUGCUGUUCACACCUGAAUAUAUGGGAAUUUCCAAAGCUCCUCCAUGAAAAGGCCACAUGGGACAAGCAAAUGAGAUGAGGUGCUUAGGAGAGAACAGGAAUGAAAGGCCACAUAGAAUCCCUCUAAGGCUGCAUUAAAUGCCAGGCUUUGGGCCUUUAGAGGAUGUGGGUCUUGUCAAGCAAACAAAUGAUGCAAUUACAGGUUGGGCUGACAAAGGUAACUGCAUAAACUGCAGAGACAUAAUGGGCUUAGACCACAGGAGACAUUUCAGUUAAUAAUGCAUAAUAUGCCAACGAAAUGUUCAUUUGGGGAAUGCAGUGAGUGGGUAGGGGUGGCUGCUCCCCAGGGAUCGGGAGGAAGCACUCAGCCAGGGACCAUGGUCCUGCUGUGCUCUCGCAGGGGAAGGGGAUCUGACCAGUGCUGGCAACACAUCUGCCUGGUGGAGCUGGAAAAAGGUGUUCAGAGCACAGCAGUGACCUGGGAACAGCUCUUUUCCUGUUGGGGAUUCCUGAGUGCUGGGCCCUGCUCCCAGGGCUGCCCCAGAGUCCAUGGAGUUCAGUCAACAGCCCAACUGCAGAACUGAGAGCUGCUCAUCCCUCAGCCACGGGGAGAGUGGAGCCAUUGCCUUUGCUUCUGCUCCUCAUCUUUGGAGAUAAGUCAUCUCAGGGCAAUUUCCAGGGACAGCUCCGUCCCCCUCUGGGCUGGGUGUGCUUCACUCACUGUCCUCUGCUGUAGCCCAAGGGAUGAACUAACUCCUCAGGGAAGGUGUUUCCAAGGGUAACUGUAGAACCAGUCCUGGCUCUGCUCUGAGGUCACAGAGGACACAGCAGGGCCUGGUGUUCAGCCAGCCCAGGGGUUUGCUUUGCCUGCCCACAGGUCUUUGAUCCUCCCUUUGUUUGUGCCAUCCAGGCCACCUCCCUCCCCUGUGGCUCUCAGAAGUCAUUUGUCCCCAGCUGGUUUGGUUCAGGGACAUCUGGGCUGGGUCAGUGACAGCAUCUGGUGCUGACCCAGGCCAGCUGGGAUAGACUCGACUCCAGAUGACCUCUGCAUCUGGGAGCAGUGCCAGGCAGAAGAAUGGGACAACUGGGAUGAACUGAUGCAGAUAACAAUAAAAAACCUCUGUUAACACUGACAAA